rnacentral:lncRNA from 10 species
AGGCAGUCAGCGCCACAGUCCACACUCGUAACCGUUACACUCACCUGGAAAUAAAAGUAUUUUUGUGCGGGGACUGCAAGGACUAAGCCCGGCCGCACUCCGAGUUUCUCCUCCUCACAGACUGGAUGAUGAGAGGCACAGCUGAGUCCGGAGCAGACUGAGCCACCUAAGAGGGGAGGAACCGCUGCAGAGAAACCGUGUUAAGCCUUUUUGAAGUUCCAGAGGGAGAACAAGAGAGCGGAGGCUCCUGGUGGCUGGUGACAGGAGGUCUCUUCUAAGUGCCUUUCACCUAACAGCAUCCUGCCCUGGAGGAGACUUCCAAGCAUGAUUGGAGCUCCCAAUCCGAUGGGGGAGACAGGACACACAUACGUGUAAUAAGAGUGUCCCCUGUGAGGCUGCUGCUGAGAGAAGCUCUGGGAAGUGUUCCUGAGAGUGGCUUCCCAUGGAGUUUGGAGGAGGAGGAGUGGGCCAAGCAGGGAAGGACCAAGAGGUCACCUUCUCCUUUCCAGCCCCAGAUGCCUUUGGCAGGAGCUGGUCCGGGCCUGGAAGGCAGUGCACGCCCACAGCGCCCUCUGCUGAACGGUAUCAGAACAGCAGGCUUGGAGGGCGAAGGCAAUUCCUGCAAAGGAUCCCUGGUUUCCUACCCAUGGGAAACCCCAGAUUCUGAAGCCAGGAAUGAAGGGUAGAUGGAGCCUGGGUCAGCACCCGAGAGGACCCAUAUGUGCAACCUGGAGGAUCUUGGAGCUUGGGAGUAGCGUAGGGGGUGGUUAGUUCAGUUCGGGAUGGCUGAGGAAGCCGUUUUAAACAACUUUCACCGAGAUCUUACUGAGGGCUCAGGAACUUGGCAUGGCCACCAUCCUGGGUAUCCAGGGCCCCUCCUUCCCCCAGGCUAGGAGAGGAACCCCUCCCAGCAGAUGCCUUCCCAGACUACCCUUGUCUCACUUAUCAUAGAGGACGUGUGCCGCCUUCCUUCUCCCAGGCCCUGGAUCUGGGGUUGCUGGACUUGGUGCGUGGGUGGUCUGGAUGCUUCUAGGAUGAAUUCAUAAUUGGGAGAUUCUAGGUGAUGCUCAGAUGGAAAUGAGGGCAACUGCUGCUUGAUGGCAGAACAACAGAGCUUGGCAGAGCUAGGCUGGACUCGACUUGGCAUUUUCUCUCCGUUUCAGACCAGGAUACGGAUUAAUUGAGCCCAGCGGAGCUCAGGUUUCCCGGGGCGGGGGGCAAGCAGUGCCUUGGAGGGAGUGGGGUACUGUGGGACGGAGGACCCAGGAGACCCAGAAUCCUGAACUGUCGGGCUGACUUCGUCUCCUACAGAGUUCUUUAACCCAGGAGCCCCGAGAACCUGCUUUCCUCAAUGUGUUCUUCACCCGUGAGGGACUAGGACAUCCUAAUUGCCAUCCCAGCAGGACACACACACAGACACACACACACACACACACACACACACACACACAC